GGUGGAGUGAGGGCGGACCGGCCCCGGUGGGGGCCGCAGUCGAGGUCCGCAGUCCCCUCGGGGUUGAAAUCGGGCAUCGGCGCCGUUUAGAGAACACCGUCCUGCUGGGCAUGACCGGAAUGCGAAGAUGGCCCUGCAACGCACCUCCUAGAAUUUGGUUACCUAGAAAACCAUGUGGAAUAAAACGACGAGGCUUAUGAUAUUUAAAAGACUUCUGCAUCGAAUUGGUGUUAUCAUAAGGGUUAUUUUAAUAACUGGCGUUCUCUAAGUUUCUACACGUGUUGGGGGAUGCAGUACCCUGCCACAUUUCCCGUCUCCAGCAAGCGCAGUCAGAUUGGCGACAUUGCAGGCAAGAGGCAGGGCUGGGGCUCCUACCCGAGAAGUAAUUGUCUCCAAAGUCUGGACUUUUGCCACCCAGCCUGGUGUGACUUCAUGUAGUGCCAGGGAGAGCCCCUUGAUUUCCCCCAAAUCCUCAUCAGCCUCCUUCCACCCAAGCCCAAAUGAACAGUACUCAUCUACUCACCUGAGGAUUAUGAGUUUUAUGGAGCAAAAUUUGCCUAGAACAGGUUGUCAGCUUCUGUGGACACAGUCUACCCUCAGGAAUCCCAUUGGAAGAAAGAACAAAUGAAGCAUCCCAAGGACUGGAGAAUUAUCUUCCCCCAGGGUAUUCAAGGAAGACACUGGGGAACAAAUUGAACAAAGUUUAUUUCAUCAACAAUGAAAAAUGCCUAGAAGGAAAUGAAGCACAAGAUUCAGUUACACAAAGAUGAAAGCUAUUGACCACUUGGCCACUUCUCAUACUAAAAGAGAAGGAAAUAACACGAAGUACUGGAAAUGACAUUAUAUUGUCCUCAUGGUGACAACCAGGAUGGGCCCGACAUAAGCCAGUCCAGGCUGUAUGUGUGGCCCGAGUGUACACAUGCGGUUUCUCUGGCCACCGAAUCAGAACCAGCUGGGCCCCACAAAUCAGUCUCUGGGGGCUGUGAUUCUGCAUUGCAAACAAGUCCUUGGGUAGCUCUGAGGGUUCACCAAGGUUUGAGAACCACUGGUGUGGCUGACCCCAGUAAAACGGUCCCACUUUUACUGCUUUCAACUGUCAUUUACAUAGAUUCAGGCAAAGAAUGGUUUUUAGAAUGAUGCCCUAUGUAGCAAAUAAAAUGACCUCAACAUAUA
rnacentral:antisense_RNA from 1 species